AGCUCAGUUGGUAGAGCACGUGACUGAAAAUCACGGUGUCGGUGGUUCGAUUCCGCCC
rnacentral:tRNA from 1 species